GCCCGCCUAGCUCAAUCGGAUAGAGCGUCAGACUCUUAACACUGAUUGGUGCGGCGAUCUGAAGGCUGCGAGUUCGACCCUCGCGGUGGGCU
rfam:Punctularia strigosozonata HHB-11173 SS5 unplaced genomic scaffold PTNSTscaffold_1, whole genome shotgun sequence.